CUUAACUAGCCCCUAUAACUUCCUGUCACUUGCUCCAAACUAAAACAUUACAAGAUUCACCACUGUGUGUGAUUCUCAGCUAUUCACCUUCUCUUAGCAAUUUUCCCUUGGUUUGGUAAUGAUGAGACACCAACAAUAAAUAUUUGCAGAGGAAGUUCAGAUUCAAAAAUUCAUCUUUCUCUGAUGAAGUAAGGUAAAGGUACCACUGCCAACUGACUGAAAAUUUUGAAAAAAGACAAAGUCUGGGGCAAUUUGACAGCCCAUAAAUGAAUCAUCUUCUACAUAGUUUUAAAAAACUAUAACUAAAACUAUAGUUUUAAAAAAACUGUAACUAUAACUAAAAGGUCUUUUACUGGGAUUGGAAUUUUGUGCAUCUAUUUGGCUGGACAUAGUAUGGACACUGGGUCUUCUAAACCCCUAAUUCCUUAGGCAUCUCUUGUAUGUAAUAAAUUACCUAGUAUCCUUCAAGAAAUAUGUAUAGAGAAAAGUCAGGUGCCCUCCAGAAGAGUCCCUCAAAUCAUUUUCUAUGUUCUGUGAUUUCAGAGGUGAAACCCCAGCUGAGGAGGCAAAUAUACUCAAGGAAAGUAAUAGUUUCCAAAUGCCUGGCAGUGCCAGGAAGGGGCCAUGUCCAUGGACCACUAUGUAAGGAUAUCUCAGUCUCUAGUCCAGCGUGGUUUAUGGUGCCAAAUAAGUGCCAGGUGAACUCACUACAUCUGACAAAAUCUCAAGGAACCAAGUUUACCAGAUAAUAUUUAUGAUUAUGUGAAAAAGACUGAGGAAAUCACUCAAGUGAUCCAUCAUACAGCACCUCCAGUUCCAAAGAAUACUGACUUACUUCAGCUGUACUGGUCUGGAGCUGCACAUUCUUUUCAGACAACUCUUGUUCCAGUGACUCUUCUCCUGUAACAGAGCCUCCUUCUUAGAAACUAUGGCCUCCCGUUUCUUUAAGUCUGCUUCCAGCUCCUCUAAUUCUUGGCGUUGGUUCAGAACUUUCUCUACUUCUUCAUCUAACCAUUUCUUUUGCUCAUCCAAUUUCUACAUUAAAAUUAAAAAAAAAGUUACUUGUUUUUCCUUCUGCCAUAAAAAUUAUAUGGUAAUAAUAGAAUUUCAGAUUGGCUGAAAUCUCUUAAAUGAACAUUUAAAAACUAUCACUCAGAGUAACUCAGGUAGCCAUCUGAGAUCCUAAAGACAUCAGUAGUUCUAGUCAAGAUGUAGCUAUGUUGUUUUAUAAAGAAUUAAAAUUUACUCCCCAGAUAUGUUAAACAGUCUAGGAUUUUUUAGCCUGACGAAGAAAGGGCUGAUAAUUUCCUAUGCCUAUAUUAAGAACAUGCUGGAGUCUUUUACUCUGUUGUAGUGGUGCACAGUUCCAUCACAGCACUUACACUGGUGGCUGCCCUACGUAUCUAUCUCCCCA
rnacentral:antisense_RNA from 1 species